UACAGAGGGGGCAAGCGUUGUUCGGAAUUACUGGGCGUAAAGGGCGCGUAGGCGGCCUGUUAAGUCGAACGUGAAAUCCCCGGGCUCAACCCGGGAACUGCGUCCGAUACUGGCAGGCUUGAAUCCGGGAGAGGGAUGCGGAAUUCCAGGUGUAGCGGUGAAAUGCGUAGAUAUCAGGAGGAACACCGAUGGCGAGGGCAGCUCGCUGGGACGGUACUGACGCUGAGGCGCGAAAGCGUGGGGAGCGAACAGG
rnacentral:rRNA from 1 species